rnacentral:rRNA from 1 species
GAUGAACGCUGACAGAAUGCUUAACACAUGCAAGUCUACUAAUUUGGGUUUUUAACUUAGGUUUGGGUGGCGGACGGGUGAGUAACGCGUAAGAACUUGCCUCACAGCUAGGGACAACAUUUAGAAAUGAAUGCUAAUACCUAAUAUUAUGAUAAUAGGGCAUCCUAUAAUUAUGAAAGCUAUAUGCGCUGUGAGAGAGCUUUGCGUCCUAUUAGCUAGUUGGUAAGGUAAAGGCUUACCAAGGCGAUGAUAGGUAGCCGGCCUGAGAGGGUGGACGGCCACAGGGGGCACUGAGAUACGGCCCUUACUCCUACGGGAGGCAGCAGUGGGGAAUAUUGGACGAUGGAGGAAACUCUGAUCCAGCAAUUCUGUGUGUGUGAAGAAGGUCUUCGGAUUGUAAAACACUUUUAGUUGGGAAGAAACAAAUGACGGU